CAGAAAAUGAUACAAAUAUUUAUUUAGUGAAAAAUAGUGAUAUUUUAUUCCAUGGCUCAUUUAUGUGACACUGUUAGAUAACCUUUGAACAGUAGUCAAGGAUAAAAAGCAUUAAUUUCCAAUCGGUGGGACAGAUAUCCAAUAAUUACAGGUGAAAAAAGGUGAUGCAGAAACAAGUGUACUGAAAGAAGUUUAGUAAUGUGUUGUGACCAUUGAGCAGUUAUCAAUACUAUUUAAAAGCAUUGGAUUUUACUUCAGAGUUCAUCAGAGGAGAAAUUAUAGACUUAUUAACACAACAUAAUAGUUUAUAUAUUUUCCUGGAAAGUAAGCUAUAUUUCCUUUAUAAAUAAUGUUACAGAGUGUGAAGUAUACUUUUUGAAAGAGGAUUACAACACUAAGUGAUAGGGAAAAGCAGCAAACAGCUAUUUGGAAGGUUGAGCAGAGUGAUAAAAAUAUUAAUUACACUGCUACCAUUAACUGACUGAUUUGCAUAUUUAAUAAAUAAUUAACUCCCAAAAUAUUAAUUAGGUUGCUAUCCUUAUCUAAUGAUUUAUAGACUCCUAAAUUUAUUGAUUAGACUGCUAUCCUUAUCAAUUGAUUUGCAUAUUUAACAAUUAAUUCUGAAACGUAUUUCUACAUUCUUUUCUUAAACACAAAAAAUAUUUGUGAUUUUCUUUGGUUAAAAAGAAUUAAUUAUCAUAAAUUUAGUCUAUAGAUUAUCAAUUUGGAUAAACUUCUUAAUAACCAUUAAUAAUAAAAAUAUAUAUCAAAAUAAUUUUAAAGUGCCCUACAAAAUUGUAUUUGAGAAAAUUUUUUUUUCACAAAUGAUC
rnacentral:lncRNA from 1 species